GAUGAACGCUGGCGGCGUGCCUAAUACAUGCAAGUCGAGCGAACGGACGAGAAGCUUGCUUCUCUGAUGUUAGCGGCGGACGGGUGAGUAACACGUGGAUAACCUACCUAUAAGACUGGGAUAACUUCGGGAAACCGUAGCUAAUACCGGAUAAUAUUUUGAACCGCAUGGUUCAAAAGUGAAAGACGGUCUUGCUGUCACUUAUAGAUGGAUCCGGGCUGCAUUAGCUAGUUGGUAAGGUAACGGCUUACCAAGGCAACGAUGCAUAGCCGACCUGAGAGGGUGAUCGGCCACACUGGAACUGAGACACGGUCCAGACUCCUACGGGAGGCAGCAGUAGGGAAUCUUCCGCAAAGGGCGAAAGCCUGACGGAGCAACGCCGCGUGAGUGAUGAAGGUCUUCGGAUCGUAAAACUCUGUUAUUAGGGAAGAACAUAUGUGUAAGUAACUGUGCACAGCUUGACGGUACCUAAUCAGAAAGCCACGGCUAACUACGUG
rnacentral:rRNA from 1 species